GAGUUGAAGUGUAGAUAUAGGCAGACAAGCAGGCCGGGGAUCAGUGCGAGCGUGAGUUGGAGCGUUAAACGUAAAAGAGGCAGUGUUCCGUGAGCGGCGGUUCAUCUCGGACGUGGUGUAUCGGUCGUGUAUGUGUUCGUCGUGCGAGCUAACCGCUGCGGCGAUAAUGCCAUUAACUCGGCGAGCUAGUAGCCAUCGAAUUUCCUGAGGCAGGUCUGCGAAAGCGCGCGACGACCAAGCGACUAAGCACGGACGAACGAGAGAGAAAGAGAGGGGACUGUAAAGUGAAACGCCCCGCCGAGAGGACGACGCCUUCGCUGGAAAAAGCACCUAGCAAGCGAGUUUAUCAGCGAGGGAGGCUGCUCGCCGCACGGACGGCACCUUCCAUAGAUCCAGAGAGAGAAAGAGAGAGAGAGAGAGUGAGGGACAAGUCCAGUCUCACAGUGACUGUUUACUUUGCGGUUGCCACGAAAGCUUCAAGCCUAACCUCCAUUAGGUAGCUUUGAAGAACGAAAGUCAUCUUCUGUCCAAGUAAUAAAAAGCACUUUGAUCAGAUCCGAGUAUACGUAGUCUGGGGUUUAUGCUGCGCGCACGAAUUUGGAAAAGCAGCGUCCUCUCGACGCCAGCAGCAAUAGCGGCAGUAGCACCACCACCACCACCACCACCACCACUACCACCACCACCACCACCACCACCACCAGUAGAAUCGACUGCCGCCUCCACGUUUCGGUAUUGAUCGAAUCUCUCCUGGCAGGACGUCGCGACGCAGUGCGAGCGCCGCCACUGCCGCUGCUAGUGCCCUACCAUUGGUGGAUCCUCCAUAGGAGUCCAAUCCUUUUGGCCGUAGCUGUUUUGCUGUUUCACGCGCGCACGCGUGUACAAAACCAGCCAACAAAAGAACAUCAAAGAAGCAGCACGAUGGAUGGCCAAUGGGAAAGGGAACACGUGCGAGUGACUGUAGAGUACACUAAUGACUGCUUCUUGGAAUUCUCCAUGUUGCGUUUUCUGAUCAGAAAAAUUCAUUGUCCAAAUGAAAUUCGGCUUUGUCGCCAACUGUCGGAUGGAUCUUGUAGCAGGAACAGCGACAGGCUUAGAUCUAAAAUCUUGUCCGCUCAGAAGAAACGAAGCGCGUACAAGUGUGACGUAACUGUGGCCAGCGGAGAAGUAUAACAGUCAUUGGCAAAAGGUUGCGCAGCUGCAAGAGAGACGCGUCGAGUUGCAGAAUUGCGGUAUGCGUGCGCGAGGCGACGCCUCAGCGGACCAGCUGCUCGUUUGCCCCUUCGUUCGGUCUCUCGCUCGCUCUUUCGCGCGCGCGCCCUGCAUGACCCGGAAGCCGCGUAUUCGGGUUAAGUGCGCGCUUCCGGCAACAGAACGCGCCGGGUGAUACGUGCAGCGCGUGCCUUCAUCGAUUACUAUGCGCGCUUGCAGAGAAAAAUAAUAAUAACACGACGACGGCACAGAUGGCAGCAACUCAUUUGCGGAAAAUGGUCGGAUCGAUGAAUGUAGCUUGGUAAGGAGUUGCGGGGCUAUCGACUGCUGCGGAAAUCUUGCUGAUUCGGCGCUUCAACCGGUUGACCCACUUACGCGCUCGAGCAAGUUCUGCCGUGAAAACACUAACUUUGCAGUCUCGCCAUGCCUACCUACCACUGUCGUACCUAUGCAAGUCGCCCUUUCCCGCCAUGGCUCUCCACUGCGCUCUGAAUAUUUACGAAGUAAUUACAAGUAAAUGCGCUCCUUUAAUGUAUCAAGUCGUCAAACACUAUACUCUUCUCGAAUAAAAAUAAGCAUCUCAUUGGCAAUUUGUAAAGAGCAUCAAUCCUGGAAGUAAAAAGUAAGAAAGCGAAAUAAGGAGACGAUGUCGUAAUUACUAGCUCGUUGUCUUUCAUUCAAUAAUCGUAUGUCACGCCUGACUCAUUCGCUGUCCUUUAACGGAUCCGAGAUCGAUCGGCCCUAAAUCGAUCUUCGCACUCCUUCUGCACACGUGCUGCUAUUUCCUGAGCACUCUAACUAAUAGCGAGAAAGCCCAGCUAAUUUUUGCUCGUUCACUCGCGUGUGCAAUCUAAUUGUGCCGAUUCGCAGGCGUGUAUCUCUUAAUUGCAAGCGAGACACUUUAACGGCAGAGCCGGGGGAUCGCACAGGAAGUGAGCGCGCGCUCGAAACUCAAGCUAAGCUAGAUCGCGUUCAUUCCGUAAAUACUUAGAUUUAUCUCAAGGCGAGAAGCGCCUAGCCCGCCUAAUAUAAAAAUCAAUUGGCAGUUUGCUGCCGCGGAGCUUUCUCCGUUUAGCGUUCAUCGAGGCGCGCACGUAUUCGCAUUGAGCAAACAGUGCGCGCUUCCCGCAUCCACUACGAGACUCUUAAUAAGGAUCGGACGCCGGAUAUUAUUCGCGCUUCGGCCUCCUCUUACCUUAAGCUGGCCCACGCGCAACGUAGCCGGUCGCGUGGGUGUCGCGAUCUAUCUACCUACUCUCCUUCUUUCUGCUCCUUUACUAUCAGUGCAUUCGGAUGAUCACGCGCUUGCUCUCGCCAACCGGCUUCUUUUGUAGAUUCAGUUUUGGCACGCUUGCAACACGUACAGUGGAAAUGUUGGAUCAACAAGUCAGAGUUUGUUGAGCCCGCGAGUAUUUUGGUCGAAUGCCGUCGAGACCAAACGAAACAAGACAAUCGGAUAGAUCGUCGGACCUUUGGUCUGCGUGGCGAGUGUUGGCACGGGAGACUCGCCGUGCUACCCAACGCGGAGACGCAACGUCUGACUAUUUACUGACGUCUCUAUAGAGAAAAUCUCUCGCUGGUUUACAUUAUCCUGAAGUUACCUCCCGUUGAAUAAUGCCGCAGCUCGCGUCUCUAAUUGAACUACAGCCGCGCGCGCCGAGGUCAGUCGACUUGUUCGGUGCAGUGUAAAAACUCGCCCCACACGCGAUACAUCUCCCUGUCGGGCCCCUC